AGAGUUUGAUCCUGGCUCAGGAUGAACGCUGGCGGCACGCUUAACACAUGCAAGUCGAACGAGGUUAUGGACUUCGGUUAAUAACCUAGUGGCGGACGGGUGCGUAACGCGUGGGUAAUCUGCCCUUGACAGGGGGAUAACGUAUAGAAAUGUACGCUAAUACCGCAUAAGCCCACGAGACCGCAUGGUCUUGAGGGAAAAGGGAUACUGGUCAAGGAUGAGCCCGCGUCUGAUUAGGUAGUUGGUGAGGUAAAGGCCCACCAAGCCUGCGAUCAGUAGCCGGUCUGAGAGGAUGGACGGCCACAUUGGGACUGAGACACGGCCCAAACUCCUACGGGAGGCAGCAGUGGGGAAUAUUGCACAAUGGGGGAAACCCUGAUGCAGCGAUGCCGCGUGAAGGAUGAAGUGUUUCGGCACGUAAACUUCUAUCAGCAAGGAAGAAAGAAGACAGUACUUGAAUAAGCAGCCCCGGCUAACUACGUGCCAGCAGCUGC
rnacentral:rRNA from 1 species